rnacentral:rRNA from 1 species
UACGGAGGGUCCAAGCGUUAUCCGGAAUCAUUGGGUUUAAAGGGUCCGUAGGCGGGCUUGUAAGUCAGUGGUGAAAUCUCCCGGCUCAACCGGGAAAUUGCCAUUGAUACUGCAAGUCUUGAAUUAUUGGGAAGUAACUAGAAUAUGUAGUGUAGCGGUGAAAUGCUUAGAGAUUACAUGGAAUACCAAUUGCGAAGGCAGGUUACUAUCAAUAUAUUGACGCUGAUGGACGAAAGCGUGGGUAGCGAACAGG